CGUCCUACGGGAGGCAGCAGUAGGGAAUUUUCGUCAAUGGGCGCAAGCCUGAACGAGCAAUGCCGCGUGAGUGAGGAAGGUCUUCGGAUCGUAAAGCUCUGUUGCGGGGGAAAAAGGACAGGGAGAGGAAAUGCUUUCUGUUUGAUGGUAUCCCGCCAGAAAGUCACGGCUAACUACGUGCCAGCAGCCGCGGUAAUACGUAGGUGGCGAGCGUUAUCCGGAUUGAUUGGGCGUAAAGGGUGCGCAGGCGGCAUGUCAAGUCUGAUGUGAAAGGGUCGGGCUUAAC
rnacentral:rRNA from 1 species